AGAUUAAAUAAUUUAUAUACCCAAUUCGGUGGAAGAAUAGGUGUUGGGUUUAUUUAUUUCGAAUGAUGUAAUUUCGCAGCGCACCGGUUUGCAUUACUCAUUAAUAAGAUUUUUGCCUCGAUAUUCUCAGUUCUAAAAGUUUCCUUAGUCCUUAAAUUGAAUUAAAAUGCCGUGUUGGGGUUGUAGAGCCAAAUCUUACAACACGAAAUCAGUGCAAAAGACGGGUAACGAGAAGAAUAAGAAUCAGUCCAAUUUAAAAAAUAAACCCGAAAAUAACGAACUCGGUUGUGCCGCUAAUAUUUCAGCUAAAAAUAUUUCUGCAGGAGAAUAUGAUUACGAUUUAGUGGUUAUUGGAGGAGGAUCGGGAGGCUUAGCCGCUGCAAAAGAAGCUACGGCACUUGGAGCUAAAGUAGCUGUUUUGGAUUACGUCACUCCAAGCCCCAUAGGGACAAAAUGGGGCCUAGGAGGUACCUGUGUCAAUGUGGGUUGUAUUCCAAAGAAGCUUAUGCAUCAAGCUGCUUUACUAGGUGAAUCAAUUCAUGACGCUAAAAGUUAUGGUUGGCAAAUAGGCGAUAAUGUAAGCCAUAGUUGGGAAUCAUUAAGAGAUGCUAUACAGGCCCAUAUUAAAUCUGUUAAUUGGGUUACGAGGGUAGAACUUAGAGAUAAGAAAGUUGAAUAUAUAAAUGGAUUAGGAACAUUUAAAGAUGCUCAUACAGUUCAGACAGUUACCAAACAGGGUGAACGUAAUCUUACCGCCAGAUAUUUUUUGAUUGCUGUGGGAGGCAGACCGAAAUAUUCAAAUAUUCCUGGAGCUCUGGAAUAUGGCAUUACUAGUGAUGAUAUAUUUAGUUUAAAUCGAGUACCAGGAAAAACUAUCAUUGUUGGAGCUGGAUACAUUGGUUUAGAAUGUGCUGGUUUCCUAAAAGGUUUGGGAUACGAUGCUACCGUGAUGAUUCGUUCUGUGCCUUUGAGAGGUUUUGACCAACAAAUGGCAGGCAUUAUUGUAGAAGAAAUGCGAGAUAAAGGUGUUAAAUUCUUACACAAGUGUUUACCUAAAUCAGUCGAGAAGCUUGAUUCAGGCAAACUGAAGGUAUCAUGGGUGAACGAAGCCAGUGAAGAGUUCAAUGACGAGUUCGACACUAUUUUGUUCGCUAUAGGUCGUCGGGCCUUGACCAAAGAAUUGAAUUUGGAAAAUGCAGGCGUUAAAAUAGCUGGUGAUGGUGAAAAGAUUGAUGCAGUCAACGAACAGACCAAUGUUUCACAUAUAUUUGCUGUAGGCGACGUUCUUUAUAAAAAACCUGAAUUGACUCCUGUAGCCAUUCAUGCAGGCAGGCUACUUGCAAGGAGACUUUUUGGAAACAGUACCAUAAACAUGGAUUAUGAUAAUGUGGCAACUACUAUUUUCACUCCAUUAGAAUAUGGAUGUGUUGGUAUUAGCGAAGAGGUUGCCAUCAAACGUUAUGGCGAGGACAACAUCGAAGUGUACCAUGGAUAUUACAAACCAACAGAAUUUUUCAUUCCGCAAAAAAGUAUAGUGCACUGUUAUUUGAAGGUGGUCGCUCUUAGGGAGGGAGACCAGAAAGUACUCGGCCUGCAUUUCAUUGGUCCUCAGGCUGGUGAAGUCAUACAAGGUUUUGCGGCGGCCUUAAAGUGCAAUUUAACUGUAAAUGCUUUAAUGAGCACUGUUGGCAUUCACCCAACAAUAGCGGAAGAGUUCACUAGGAUAAAUAUAACCAAAAGAUCCGGAAAAGACCCCAACCCAGCUUCCUGCUGCAGUUAAGCUAAUUUUACAACACACUGUAGCCUAAAUCAUGUAUACUUACGGCAUAUAACUUGUAACCAUACAAAUCUGACCAAUAUAUGUCAGAUUAUCUUUUUUUCUGUGUGUUUUAAGACAUAAGAUAAAAAAUUCAUCUUUUUCCUUUUUGAAAUUUGUGAAAUAUCACAUGCACAACAGUUAUACGGUAUUAUCUGCGUAAGUGUAUAUGAUUUCGGCACUUUAUAAUACACAAACAUGUACUUCACACUAGCAUAAAUGUGAUGUUUCUGCAAACAAUCCCGAUAUUUAUUUGUCUUUUAACACUUACACCCAGUAAAUAUUGAUGUAAUCCAAAUUCCAUUACAUUUUUAAAAACAG
rnacentral:misc_RNA from 1 species